GAAAUGUAGGAUGUGCAUACAGGCAGAUCUGAUUGAGGAGGUACCCGCUCUUUAUUUUCCUCUUACUGUUUUUCACCCUGGUUAAUUUAUCAAUGACAGCACAAUCCCCCUUAGCGCUGAUGCUGGAGUCAGCCCAGCACUGCUCACAGAGACAGAAAUCACACUGCGUAAUGAACAGUUCUUGGGAGCUGCUGGAACAAACAGCCCACAGGAUGCAGAGAUGGGAACAGAAACUUUGCUGGCUUGUCCAGGAUGAUCUCUAUUCAGCCUCCUUCACAUCUUUUACAGCUUCAAUCAAGGUUCUGGAUGGGAGAAAUACAAGAUCAGUCCCCCACCCCCCAGACUGAAGAAUCCAAGGUAUUGGCCAGAUAUUUUUGCCCUAGUAUCCCACAGACUGCUGCAUAGACUCAUGAAAUCAUAGAGCUUGAAGAUGCCCAAGAGGUGGAUGCUGUGAGCCAUGGCAAAGUGGAACCAGGAACCAGCAUGCCCCUCGCCUUUCUGCCUCAUCUCCCACACACUGGGAUGAAGCCAUUCCUUGAAGUGCCUCCCUGAGUUCUGGAACACUAGGAGAAGCAAUAGGGUCCCAUGGACCAGGAGCAACUCUACUCUAGGAGUGGCUGUAUACCAUUCAAGCCUCCACAGACAGUCACUAUGUUUUAAGAGAAUAGAGAAAGCUUUGGUGCUUGAAGGAGCCCAGGUGAAUGGCCAGGGACAUUCAAAGCCUUAUGUGUGACCUCGUGUCCUGAUUACUUUACUAGUGGGACAUCCCAGCAGCUCUUUAGUGGGUCCUCUUCCUACCCUGCCCCCACUCUUUGGAGUCCUGUUCCACAGAAUCAGAGCCAUCUUCCUGAAGGAUCACUCCUAUCCUGCCACUCUCCUAUUCAAAAAUCU